rnacentral:rRNA from 1 species
UACGGGGGGGGUAAGCGUUGUUCGGAAUUACUGGGCGUAAAGGGCUCGUAGGCGGCCAACUAAGUCAGAUGUGAAAUCCCUGGGCUCAACCCAGGAACUGCAUUUGAAACUCCCUUUCUUGAGUGUCGGAGAGGAAAGUGGAAUUCCUGGUGUAGAGGUGAAAUUCGUAGAUAUCAGGAGGAACACCGGUGGCGAAGGCGGCUUUCUGGACGACAACUGACGCUGAGACGCGAAAGCGUGGGGAGCAAACAGG